CCUACGGGCGGCAGCAGUGGGGAAUAUUGGGCAAUGGAGGAAACUCUGACCCAGCAACGCCGCGUGAAUGAUGAAGGUCUUCGGAUUGUAAAGUUCUUUUCUAAGGGAAGAAGAAAGUGACGGUACCUUAGGAAUAAGCCUCGGCUAACUACGUGCCAGCAGCCGCGGUAAUACGUAGGAGGCAAGCGUUAUCCGGAAUGACUGGGCGUAAAGGGUGCGGAGGUGGUUCAGCAAGUUAGUAGCGUAAUUCCGGAGCUCAACUUCGGCACUACUACUAAAACUGUUGGACUUGAGUGCAGGAGGGGCAACUGGAAUUCCUAGUGUAGCGGUGAAAUGCGUAGAUAUUAGGAGGAACACCAGUGGCGAAGGCGGCUUACUGGACUGUAACUGACGUUGAGGCUCGAAAGCGUGGGGAGCAAACAGGAUUAGAUACCCCGGUAGUC
rnacentral:rRNA from 1 species